CUACGGGUUGCAGCAGUGGGGAAUAUUGCACAAUGGACGAAAGUCUGAUGCAGCAACGCCGCGUGGAGGAUGACACAUUUCGGUGCGUAAACUCCUUUUAUAUAAGAAGAUAAUGACGGUAUUAUAUGAAUAAGCACCGGCUAACUCCGUGCCAGCAGCCGCGGUAAUACGGGGGGUGCAAGCGUUACUCGGAAUCACUGGGCGUAAAGCGCAUGUAGGCGGACUUGUAAGUUGGAAGUGAAAUCCUAUGGCUCAACCAUAGAACUGCUUCCAAAACUGCUUGUCUAGAAUAUGGGAGAGGUAGAUGGAAUUUCUGGUGUAGGGGUAAAAUCCGUAGAGAUCAGAAGGAAUACCGAUUGCGAAGGCGAUCUACUGGAACAUUAUUGACGCUCAGAUGCGAAAGCGUGGGGAGCAAACAGGAUUAGAUACCCUUGUAGUC
rnacentral:rRNA from 1 species